CGGGUUCGUAAAGCACUUUCAGUAGGGAGGAAGGUAGUGUAGUUAACACCUGCACUACUUUGACGUUACCUACAGAAGAAGCACCGGCUAACUCCGUGCCAGCAGCCGCGGUAAUACGGAGGGUGCGAGCGUUAAUCGGAAUUACCUGGGCGUAAAGCGCACUGCAGGCGGCCUGUUAAGUCAGAUGUGAAAGCCCGGGGCGUUAACCUCGGAAUUGCAUUUGAAACUGGCAGGCUAGAGUCUUGUAGAGGGGGGUAGGAAUUUCAGGUGUAGCGGUGAAAUGCGUAGAGAUCUGAAGGAAUACCCAGUGGCGAAGGCGGCCCCCCUGGACAAAGACUGACGCUCAGAUGCGAAAGCGUGGGGAGCAAACAGGAUUAGAUACCCCUGGUAG
rnacentral:rRNA from 1 species